rnacentral:rRNA from 1 species
CCAGCACCCCGAGUGGUCGGGACGAUUAUUGGGCCUAAAGCAUCCGUAGCCGGCCUUACAAGUCCCCCGUUAAAUCCAGCUGCUUAACAGAUGGGCUGCGGAGGAUACUAUAAGACUAGGAGGCAGGAGAGGCAAGCGGUACUCAGUGGGUAGGGGUAAAAUCCGUUGAUCCAUUGAAGACCACCAGUGGCGAAGGCGGCUUGCCAGAAUGCGCUCGACGGUGAGGGAUGAAAGCUGGGGGAGCAAACCGGAUUAGAUACCCGGGUAGUCCCAGCUGUAAACGAUGCAGACUCGGUGAUGGACUAGCUUUAUGCUGGUCCAGUGCCGCAGGGAAGCCGUUAAGUCUGCCGCCUGGGUAGUACGGUCGCAAGACUG